AUUGAACGCUGGCGGCAGGCCUAACACAUGCAAGUCUCGCGAGCGGCGGAAGGUUGAUUAAUGUCUGGGAAACUGUCUGAUGUCGGGGGAUAAAUACUGGAUACGGUAUCUAAUACCGCAUCCAUCAUAUUUGCCCAGAUGGGCUUAGCGAGUAGGUGGGGUAAUGGCUCACCAAGGCGACGAUCCCUAGCGGGUCUGCGAGGAUGACCAUCCACACUGGAACGGAGAAAAGGUCCAGAGUAGGACGGGAGGCAGCAGUGGGGAAGAUUGAACAAUGGGCGCAAGCCUGAGGCAGCCAUGCAGCGUGUGUGAAGAAGGCCUUCGGGUUGUAAAGCACUUUCAGCGGGGAGGCGUUACCGGCAGAAGAAGCACCGGCUAACUCCGUGACAGCAGCCGCGGUAAUUC
rnacentral:rRNA from 1 species